UGAUAAAUGUCAGAAGUUUAGGGGCCAAGUUGAAAAUAGUCAUUUCCAGAUGCAAACGGCGCCGUUUUGAACCAUUGUUUAUCGCCUCCUACCUCAUUCCAGGGACCGGUUUUGCAGGGAAUGUAUAGCUGCCCACGAUGCCCUCUCGGGAGGCCACGAUAUCAUGGCCAACAAUCCUGACUCUUCUGGAAGACAGGAGCGAACGUGCCCCAUUAUCUGGAGACACGAACGCACAAACAGAGGCCAUUCUUUGGCUUCAUAAAAGCCAGAGAAGGCCACGAACCAGAAAAAAAAAAGAAGGGAGAACGCAGGAAAAAACCAGGGGACGAGCGGGAGAAGCAGGGGGCAGAGCACGAACUGAAACAGAAAAAAAAACACAGGGGACAAGGAGAAAAAUACAGACGAACAGAGAGGAGACUCAGAAAUCCAGAGCAAAAAAAAAAUACACAUAGAGAAGGAGAGAAAGGGAGAGAGAAGGUCAAGGAGAGCAAGAACUAGGGUGCUCUACUUUAUCUCCGUCCCUAGAGUGCAAGCAAAUAAAAAAACAGAGGAGCUGCCGGCGUUGAUCAGUUCAGCCGCUCGUCUCCAGCUUCACCACACCAAGUCAGUAGCAGCCAAAGAAACAGAAGGGAAGUUUGAAACGGGUCCUUUGCUAAGCGUCGCCCAAUCACUCAGGAGGAGCAUCACUGUCGUCUUCAUCGUCUCCAGCAAACCAGUCAGAUGCAACUGGGAGACACAAGGCACACUUGCCUCCAAAACUACAUGGAAGUUGAGUAAAGACAACAUCAAUGCCCUUUACGAUAUCAUGGAUUCAUUGCUCAAAAGUAUUGGCUGAAAUUACUUUUAGGAUCAUCUAGUGCAUGUUGGGAGCUAGCAGCAUGAUUUGGAUUGGACAAAACCAAACCUACAGAAAAAAUCAGCCUUCGUCUACUUUGUUCAGAAUCACCUGGUGCAGCUAUGCCUACCCCCCACCGUAUCUUAAAGGAAAAACAAAACAAGCUGUGAUUAAAAGUCUAAUCUAUUGUAAAAUUCAGUAUGAUGUAAGUGUGUAGAACUGCAGUUUUCGGGAUUGAGUUACAAACCCCAAUUCUCGCUAAUAUCUGGAAAAUGGGGUCUAAAAUUUUCCUUU